UUUAACCUGACGAAAUCACGUUCUUCUGGCUGAGCUGUGGACACACGACGGGGCUUCACUACAUUCCACGAGCAGAGAGCUAUAGGUCAAUGUAAUGUACAUCAGUUACCAUCUGCAGUGCCAUUUCCACUGUAAAGGUUGGGUCGACCAUAGGUGAAGUCGUCAGGUGAGAUUCUCGUUGGAUACCCAGCGUCAUCAUUUUCGACUGAAUUGGCUCAAAAAUCGAUCAAGUAUCUGAGAAGAAACAGGUAAAAUAAGGUAUAAAUUACAACAUAAGUAUUACACAAUGAAUGCAAUAGCGUGCGGGCACAGAGACCAAAGUAUAUCGGCAAUACGCUAUUUUAAAGUUAAGAUA